GAAAAGCGAAAUAGCUGAUAAUAUUGUUCAACUAUAAAUGAUGCAUCCCUCGGGAUGAAUCACGAUCUUGAGUACAAAUUCACAUGCUGAUUUGUAUAAUCCAUUACUUAAAAGCUUUAAAUCAGAUCAUCACACCACAAUAACUUUGGUGCAUUAUGAAUUUCAAAUUGUACCGCAAAUAUUGACAACAAGCACGUGGAAAAUCUAUUUUGCAGGUUGUAGUGUUGUACACACACUCAUCUAGAGAACCUGGUUGUGUGCAGGCAGACAUUCAGAAUGCAAAUAUUGUUCUCCUGCACAAAUUAAUACAACUCAGAUACAUCAAGAUCAUAUUUUUUUAGAACUGUGUAUGUGAGCUAUGUGCAAAAUAUAUUAGACACACCAAGGCUAGGGUGCAUCUACAAUAACCAUCAGUCUAUCAUCUACAUAUUACAUAAAGUCCACUUAGUCGAGAGCAGAACAAAAUAAGAAGGGGGAAAGGGCACAAAGGAUUUAGCAAGUUGAGAAAAAAAAUCUUACUUGGACCUGUACUGGGCAAUGGGCAGUAGUAGAGGAAUUGCAAGUUUAGGUUCAUCUUUUGGAAGCAAAGAAUCGCAGAAUUUGUUAGUAGAUUUAUAUUCAGGACCUACAAUAAAAUUGAUCUGGUAUGUCAUUUGCUUGACCUUAUCAUGAUACAGAGAAAACAAGCCUUGAUUCCUCGCAAAACCUUAUAGUUCUGUGUUGAUCCAUACACCGAAGAUUGAAGAUAACUGCAAGAUCACCAGUACAAGCAGUACAUUUUCUGAGUAUAUUUUCAGAGUACUUCAAGCAAGAUUACUGAAGUUACUAAAAUUUACUUCAAGCAAGAUUACUGGAGUAAAACUCUCACACUAUGUUUACUGAAAAUUUACUAAAACUGUGCCUACAACUACAUUUCCUACUCCUAAUCUGUAACCAUACUCAACAAAUAAUUGUACCCUACUUCUAAUCUGAACCAAAUCUUGCAACCAGGAUAGGGAGGAGACAGGGGAAGCUCAGCACACGCUGGAGAUGCUGGCAAAGAGGAGCAUCGUCGAGCAGGAUGUCCACGACGCCGUAGGAGAUGAAGGGGAGGGCGUACCACAUGCAGCCAGGCCGUCGGCGGCUGCUCCUCCUGCUACUCCUCACGGCACCGUCUUCAAAUUCAGAACCGCCACCUCCACCCCUCCCCAUCUUCAGAUGUGCUCUUGCUCCUUCCGCUCAUCUUCAUGGCGGGGACGUCCAGCCACCACCGUCACUCAUUAUCUUUGCUGCUUCAUGUUCCUCUAAUUUUUGAAAUAUAAAAGCAUAAACUUAAGUGGGAAGCAGCAAGGUAAAGUGCUACAUUAGUAUAUGUGCAGACUACUUCCUUAUACCAUAGCAAACAAUCUAAGAAUUUCAAAUCCAAAUGUUGUGAGGCACACCAUUGCUUCUGAGCUCUGAUCAGCCAAAUUUUUUUGCAGAUGAUAAACAGUUCCAGAGAAAGACCUACCAUCCAACUUAUCCAAAAGUGGUCUUCUGAUUUCCUAUGAGAUAGUGAAAGAACAAUAUACAAUUAUAUAAUCAAUCAAAAAGCAUUACUUCAAUAAUAUACGCUUGAGACAGAGGUAUUAGCUGUAACCGGAAGGAAGACAUGUUGAAUUACAGUGCAGAUAGAGCAUAAAUGCAUAGUACGUAAAAGAGAUUUUGAUAUGCAGAGUGAAACCAAGAGAAACAAUAGCAAAGCCGAGCCACUUAACUGGGAAAAGAUGUUUAACAAAGUAGGAUCAGGCAAAAGAAAAAACAUGUUCAGGCAAUAUAAAAUAUGGAACGAUGCAACAGCCGCAGGAGCAAUCUUCCGUUAUCUAAAAUAUUAGUUAAGCAUAUGAAUUGACCAAGUUGAAAUCUCUAGACAUCUUAUCUAAAAAAACAUCUAAGAAAAACCUCAAAAAUCUAAGAAAGAAAAAAAAGGAUAAUAAUUGCACAUGAAUCAGCAGCAUUAGCUUCCACGAUCUUGCUCAACAACCCAAAAUUACUAAAUCCCAUCAAGAACUACAUGUUGAACUGUUCCUGCACAGUAAAACCACCAGUGCUACUGGGCCAUAUCUGAUCCAUCCACUACUCCAAGAUGUUUCGAAACAUCAAAGGAAAAGGAGGGAAUAGAGGAGCAAAGCCGUGAGCAGCACAAGUCCACUCCCUUCCUGGCCUGGUCGCCAUCCAGUGGAAGUAUAUUAGGCAUUGUCCACAUAGACAGGGGUACUGUGAUGCCGUCGACCGAAGAACGAAGCAAGCUGAUGAAAAUCCAAAAAAGGAAAAUCAAGCAGAGGAGAGGGAGCUCUGCAACAUUUAUUAGAGGUAACACAUACCAGAAGUCCAGCCACAAUAUCAUGGCAAGUGCAUAUCAAAAGAACACGAAUCACAAUCAGAGGCUCGGGAUAGACCAAACGCAGUGACCGUUAACAAAUCUAAACUCCAUGUUAAUAAUAGCCACUUAUAUAUAUUUGGAUGUACAUAGAAAUUAGAUAUUUCUUGAUUGUUUCCAUAAGAAAAAACAUACUGGCUGCAACAGAAUGAAAGACUAACCUAUUGAUGAGCACAACAGUACAUACCAUCCCAUCCUGAUGUUGCCAUCUCUCACACUUGAUGAUUACAUCUUGUUAUUUCUAACAUGUACACCAUCGAGCAAUUGCUUUACUAGAAAUAUAUUUACACAAUAUGAUCAGAGCAACAUCAAGGAGUCCAAUGCUGGUGCACAGAUUCUCCUCAAAUUCCACAUCCAACCCUUGUAGAGAAGGACGACAUAUUUGCUUAGGUGAUUUUUGAUUGAGCUCCUACAGAAAAAUUCAAAGAAAUCAUGAGGAGCAUGGAGCAAAGCAAACUGAUCAGAGUAAAUCAUGAGACGAGAAGCCUCUCAACCUACUACAGGGAAUCGAGUCAACAUAAACUGCUGUAAGAAUUAAACCGUAAUGUAGGUCAACAACCAAGCAGUUGAUAAAAUAAGCCUGACACAACCCAUUAAUACAAUAUAUAAUCACAGGACGUAGAUAGAGAUUGUGCAGAUAUCAUGAUCUACGAACCGUAUCUACAAAUAUUGAUUGAAAAGUCACAAAGAAAACCUCCUGACAUCACAAAACAAAUGUUUCAUCAACAGAAACUCUAGUGAAUGCCAAUUGGAUUAUAUGAGUAAGAUAGGGACAUUAAAAAAAGGAAAAAGAUAAUUUAAUAUUAUAUAUUCUAUUUUCUUACUUCACAUCACAGAGAAUGCAAGUCAAAGAUAUUGCGAUACAUCUUACCCUUCUAUUAUGAAAGGCACAAUCCCGAGCAAAAUAUAAAGAACGAAUUGCUCCUGUGGUCCAAGUAUUGCAAAAAUAGUUAUAUAUAGAUUAUUCAGCAGUGAGGAUAAACAUGGCAUGUACUACCGAAAUCCCUGGAGCUUAGUCUGCAUAUCUAUUCGUCUUGUCCGUAAAUCAGUGGUGGCCAAGAUGUGCUGGCAGCUCACCUGCCUCUCCCCGUUUACAAAUAAAAUCAAUGCAGCUCAAUGCAAAAAAAGAACAUAGAUAUAUCUACUUGUAACUCCGGAGUGUUAGUAGAGUCGAGGAGAGAAAACCCAGCCAAUGUUACAGCAGAUCGAUGUGCAGACUUUGUUAGGGACAGUCCCAGUUGUAAAACAUAGAUAUAUCUAC
rnacentral:lncRNA from 1 species